CUGAGGAAGCUGCGGCACUCCGGGUACAGGCAGGAGCAGAGAUCCACAGAACACAAGGCUGAAUUCCUCCUCAUUCACCUGGAACGGAAGGAUGCUGGGAUGUACUUUUGUGCCUACAAGAUGAUGAUCUCCGAGGAGUGGUCAGGGGAGAGUGAAUACCUGCAGCUGAAGGUCAAAGAUGACCACAAUGGACGUGGAGCUACUGGAGUAAAAAAUGGUAAGAUAAUUUGAGAGAUGUUUUUCCAAAUUAUAUCCACCUCAUGAGGCAGGCAUUCCCCUUUGAAUAAAAGGCACAGAAGAAGAAUCGUGAUGCCUGCUUUCUCACUGUGAUGGGGAGAAUGACUGCCUUUCUGGGAAGAUGACCCCAAGCUCCUCAUGGGUUAAGGAAAAGCUGAUGAGUAAAACAGCUAGAGCCAAUGGAUUAAUCUUUGCUGCCACCUUCAGCUGCCUUUCCAUUUUGAUUCUCUUCCUCUCUUGUCUUCUUCAUCAACAGAUGUACCCAGCAUGGUUCGUCACAUGAAGAGUCCACCAAGAGGUGGAUAUGCUUGACAUAUCUUGCGCCCCUCUCUUCUUCAGAUGCCCUGUUUGUAUGUCUGUGAUUCCCAUGCCUCUUCUAAUGCCCCAUUUUCUCCCUCAGUCUUCAGAUCCCAUACUUUAAUGUGUUUUUGUCUCUCAGAACCAGCCAUUCCGAAUUUCCCAAGCAGGAGGCUACAGGUGAGUGGUAAGGGAAGAAACCAUAAGAGAAUCUUAUGGUUUGGAUGGAAAGAAUAAGUCUCACUCCUGCAAUCUGAGAGCUGAUUUUUUUUUUCCUUUCACUCACAUGCAGAUUUGUCCAACCUGGAAAGGAUAUCUGUCUCGGUGAGCUCUCUCCACGAGCUCACUUACCACCGUAGGCUGACCCUGUCUGCCUCCUGGUUUAGCCCAUACUCUAGUUACUUGGAUGCCCCCAGCUCACACGAUUGACAAGAGGCCAAUUAACAUUGUGUUUAAAAGCAUGUGCUUUGACCAAACUAAAAAAAACAGAAAGUAGAAUGGUGGUUACCAGGGGUGGGAGAAGUAGGGAGAUGUUGGCCAAAGGGUACAGACUUGCAACUAGCGGAUAAGGAAGUCGUGGAGAUGUAAGGCACAGCAUCAUGAUUAGAGUUCACAACAUUGUAUUAUAAACCUCAGAGUUGCUAAGAGACUAGAUCUUAAUUGUUCUCACUGCAAAAAAGAAAUGAUAAUUAUGUGGCAGGAUGGAGGUUUAGCUAACACUACGGUGGUGAUCGUGUUGCAAUAUAUGAAUGUAUCAAAUCAACACGUGGUACCCCUUAACCUCAUACGGUGUUAUACGUCAAUUAUAUCUCAAUAAUUCAACAAAGAAACACAUGCUUUGUAUUCCAGAGUAGCUGGGUUCCAACUCCCUAUGGCUACCAUUUCUUGCCAGUAUGGUCUGAGACAACUCACGAAACCCCUGUGAUUUGGACCCUUCAUUCCCUCCCUUAUCUAUUGGGGAUCAAAAUCCCCCAUGACAGUCCUGUGUAAUCCAGUGAUGCACUAAACACAAAGGGUUUGCUGGAAUUUCUGGCAAAUUUUAAAUGUCAGAUGGAUGGCAUGAAAGCAUCAAUUAACAAAUGUUAAUCAAUGUACACCAAUCAGUUUUUUCUAUUUGAAAUACUGCUUACUUGUGAUUUAACAUUAAUUACC